rnacentral:misc_RNA from 1 species
GAUGAAGAACGUAGUGAAAUGCGAUAAUUAAUGUGAAUUGCAGAAUUCAGUGAAUCAUCGAGUCUUUGAACGCACAUUGCGCCCCUUGGUUAUUCCGAAGGGCAUGCCUGUUCGAGCGUCAUUAUCACCCCUCAAGCCCUGGCUUGGUGUUGGACUUUAGUUAUAGCUUUGCCUAUCAACUGGUCUCAAAGAUAGUGACGGCGCCCCAGAGGGAACCGGGUACGAGGAGCUUUUUACUAAGCAUGUAUCUGGGACGACUCUGAUGGGCGACGGUCUUGUUAUACUUUUUACCUAAGUGUUGACCUCGGAUCAGGUAGGAAUACCCGCUGAACUUAAGCAUAUCAAUAAGCGGAGGA